UGGGGAACAUGACCUUCGGCGGGGGAUAGCCGGCCCAACGGCUGGGUAAUACCGCGUACGACCUUUCGGGGACAUCCCCGGAUGGUGAAAGCAGCAAUGCGCCGAUGGAGUGCCUCGCGGCCUAUCAGCUAGUUGGUGAGGUAACGGCUCACCAAGGCAACGACGGGUGGCUGGUCUGAGAGGAUGGCCAGCCGCAUUGGGACUGAGACACGGCCCAGACUCCUACGGGAGGNAGCG
rnacentral:rRNA from 1 species